rnacentral:lncRNA from 1 species
CUCGCUGGCCAAGGAUUGAUCCCAUGCCCCCUGCAUUGGAAGGCGAUGUCCCAGCCACUGGACCCCCAGGGAAGCCCCUUUGGAAGGUAUUUUAAGUGGAAUGAAUUUACUGAAAAAGCCUGAGGAGGGUGGUGGAUGGAGGAGGAUUAACAGGCCAGACAGACCAGCUCUGGCCUCGCAGACGCGAGCAUGCGCGCACGUCACCUGACGCAGGCGGUCUGGGGCGGGGCCUGAGGCUGGCCCCUUCUGACCCGUGGUACCAGUGCGGCCGGUCGGGGGUCAAUUCGUGCUGCGGUGAGGAUCCCUGCCGGACACGCGGGAGAGAUGCGGAUGCCCUCCAGCUGAAGAUCCCUGGGGCACACCUGGCAUGGAACUGUAAGGUGCUGGAAACACAGACACCAGUGAGACACAGUCCCAGUCCUGAGGGGCCUCCCGGCUAUGCUGUGAAACACACAGAGGUCUCCCAUACAAUAAGCUGUGAGUCAUUCUCUGGGGGAAUCAGAGAUUUCUCAGAGGCUGUGAUACCUGAAUCUUGCCAAAGGGAUGGAAUUUGACUCUGAACCAGUGACUAGAUCUAGCCACUAAUUUGCAGGCAAUACCAAGGACAGAAGAACUUGAACUGCACUAACAGUCUGCAGUCAGCAAAGUCUAGACUAUGGGAAACUCUCCAGGUCAAAUGGGCCGGAUUCCUCAACAGACACACUGCAAGGAAAUCAAAGGGAAGGAAGCGAAUUCUAGUGAUUGGAGGGGAAAAAAAGCUUAAAAGCUUAAAAAAAUUUUUUUAAUGCACAAAGUUCAACUCCAGGUUGUAAGGAUAUAAAGACGCACAAUGAAGUGAUAAGUUAAAAGGCAAGAAAGUGAUUACUAUAAAAGUAGGGAGUAUGGUUGCUUCUGGCCGUCGGGGGGUUGUGACUGGGGGGAGGGCACACGAAGGAGUUUUCUGAGUGUCUGAGUUCUCUGACCUGGGUGGUGUUCUUCUUAUAACUCAUUAAGGCAUUCACUUGAUUUGUGUGGUUUCUAAAACUGUG